rnacentral:rRNA from 1 species
AUGCAAGUCGAACGGUGAAGCCCCGCUUGCGGGGUGGAUCAGUGGCGAACGGGUGAGUAACACGUGAGCAACCUGCCCCUGACUCUGGGAUAAGCGCUGGAAACGGCGUCUAAUACUGGAUACGAGACGUGAUCGCAUGGUCAACGUUUGGAAAGAUUUUUCGGUUGGGGAUGGGCUCGCGGCCUAUCAGCUUGUUGGUGAGGUAAUGGCUCACCAAGGCGUCGACGGGUAGCCGGCCUGAGAGGGUGACCGGCCACACUGGGACUGAGACACGGCCCAGACUCCUACGGGAGGCAGCAGUGGGGAAUAUUGCACAAUGGGCGCAAGCCUGAUGCAGCAACGCCGCGUGAGGGAUGACGGCCUUCGGGUUGUAAACCUCUUUUAGCAGGGAAGAAGCGAGAGUGACGGUACCUGCAGAAAAAGCACCGGCUAACUACGUGCCAGCAGCCGCGGUAAUACGUAGGGUGCAAGCGUUAUCCGGAAUUAUUGGGCGUAAAGAGCUCGUAGGCGGUUUGUCGCGUCUGCUGUGAAAUCUGGGGGCUCAACCCCCAGCCUGCAGUGGGUACGGGCAGACUAGAGUGCGGUAGGGGAGAUUGGAAUUCCUGGUGUAGCGGUGGAAUGCGCAGAUAUCAGGAGGAACACCGAUGGCGAAGGCAGAUCUCUGGGCCGUAACUGACGCUGAGGAGCGAAAGGGUGGGGAGCAAACAGGCUUAGAUACCCUGGUAGUCCACCCCGUAAACGUUGGGAACUAGUUGUGGGGUCCAUUCCACGGAUUCCGUGACGCAGCUAACGCAUUAAGUUCCCCGCCUGGGGAGUACGGCCGCAAGGCUA